CGUGAGCCACCGCGCCUGGCCUCCAGGGCUCCUUCUAAAAUGCCAAUUACCUGCAAGGGUCUUGGCUGUGCCCCAGAGUCUCCAGGCCUGCGAAUGCUGCGUGGCAUCCAGUGGGCGCUCAAUAAAUGCUUACUGCUUGAAGGAGCAUCUCCCCCAAGUGUUCAUCUGAUGCAUGUUUGUGGAGCACCUGCCAUGGGCCAGGCACUGGGGACGCUACAGUGACAGAAAGGAACCCAAGGCCCCUCCUCUACCGGAGGAGCCGUGGGUCCCAGGAGUGGCGGAAAUUGACCGGAAAUGGCUAGAGAAUGUCAGAGCUGCGCCGGGACCAGCUAGCUCUUUCUGUGAGGAACGAGUCACAGUUUUAUGGUGCGCUUACUGUAUGCUAGGCACUGGUCGACUGAGUGCUGCCAGGUAGUACCUUGGCAUCCUCCCGGUAACCCUCCGCAGUAGGAACUAUUUAUUAUGAAACCCAUUUUACGGAGGAGGAAGGAGAAGUCCAAAAUAGGUAAGUCUGUUGGCCCUGUCAUAUAGGUAGGAAAGGCUGGGGCAGGGGCGGGGUGCUGGAUUCAAAUUCAGGUGUGUAGGAUUGCAGCUCCCCAGUGGCGAAUGAAUGAAUGAAUGAACGAAUGACUGAUUGAAUGAAUGAAUGGAUGAGGCAAUGAGUGAAUGAAUGAACGAAUGGGCGUGCCAAUGAAUGAGCAAAUGAGUGUGGGAAUGAAUGAAUGAAUGAAUGGUGCGGGAAUGAACAAAUGAAUGAAUGGGUGGUGAACAAAUGAAUGGGUGAGUGAACUAAUGAAUGGAUGAAUGGGUGAGCCAACAAAUGGAUGAACAAAUGAGUGAGUUAAUGAAUGCAGGAAUGAGUGAAUGCAGGAAGGAAUGGUGUGGGAAUGAAUAAGUGAAUGGGUCAUAUAAGAAUGAAUGAAUGAACAAAUGGGUGAGACCAAUGAAUGAAUGAAAGAGUGAGCAAAUAAAUGGGUGAACGAAUGAACGAGUAAAUGAACGAAUGAAUGAAUGAAUGAAUGGGUGAGCCCGUGAAUGGGUGAACAAAUGAAUGAGUGAAUGAAUGAAAGGGUGAGCGAAUAAACAAAUGGGUGAAGGAAUGAACGAGUGAAUGAACGAAUGAACAAGCGAAUGAAUGAAUAAGUGAAUGAACGAAUGGGUGAGUGAAUUAAUGCAUGAAAGGGUGAGCGAAUAAACAAAUGAGUGAAGGAAUGAACGAGUGGGUGAACGAAUGAACGAGUGAGUGAAUGAAUGAACGAGUGAAUGAACGAAUGGGUGAGUGAACGAAUGAAUGAAUGGGCGGGCCGGUGAAUGAAUGAACGAAUGGGCGAACGAAUGAAUGAGUGAAUGAAUGAAAGUGUGAGUGGCGAG
rnacentral:lncRNA from 1 species